UAAAUAUUGGUGGAUAACAUUACAAAAUUGUCCCACUUAAUGAUUAUAUCCAACGUUUUAGAUAGCUAAAGAGAAUAUAUCAUCAACUAUACUAGUCUAUCAAACUAAUGUAACCAAUGUCACAAUACCUCACAUCAUGCUAAAAAUUACCCACACAUUAAGAAAAAAGAAAGGAAGAGACCAUAUAAUACUCUUUUUUACUUAGACAACUCUAAUACAACCAACCUAAUACUUGAUCAAGAAUCUUUGAUGAUAGCAGAUUAAGCCUUUGCAAAAGAUCC
rnacentral:lncRNA from 1 species